UCCCUGAUAGCUCAGUUGGUAAAGAAUCUGCCUGUAAUGCAGAAGACUCUGGUUCGAUUCCUGGGUUGGGAA
rnacentral:tRNA from 1 species